AACGCNGGCGGCGUGCGUAACACAUGCAAGUCGAACGAGAAUGUACUGACAGAUCCUUAGGGUGAAGAUAGUACAGGACAGUGGCGGAUGGGUGAGUAACGCGUAAGAAACCUGCCUUUCACACCGGGAUAGCAGCUGGAAACGGCUAUUAAUACCGGAUGACACUUUUUCCCCGCAUGAGGAGGAGGUUAAAGAAUUUCGGUGAAAGAUGGUCUUGCGUCUGAUUAGCUAGUUGGUGGGGUAACGGCCUACCAAGGCGACGAUCAGUAGCCGGCCUGAGAGGGUGUACGGCCACAUUGGGACUGAGACACGGCCCAAACUCCUACGGGAGGCAGCAGUGGGGAAUUUUGCACAAUGGAGGAAACUCUGAUGCAGCGACGCCGCGUGAACGAAGAAGGUCUUCGGAUUGUAAAGUUCUGUCCUGGGUGAAGAUAAUGACGGUAACUCAGAAGGAAGCCCCGGCUAACUACGUGCCAGCCGCCGCGGUAA
rnacentral:rRNA from 2 species